rnacentral:rRNA from 1 species
CAUUGUCUGUCAUCCGUUUCAUUUUUGAUACGGUGUUCCACCAGUAAUCAUGGUUGCCGCGAACGAUAAUUUUCCGUCCGGGAAGUGCGGAUAGCGUUUUCAGGUCGGAAAGGGCGUCUUCCAGAUGGGUGGCCCAGGAAAGAUCGCCUGCCAUGAUGACCGUAUCGUCGGCGGUAAUGGUUUCUUUCCAUGCAGAGAGAAUUUUUUCACGGUGAUUUUUCCAGUUGUCUCCGAAGAUGUCCAUCGGUUUUGUCGGCGGGUCGCCGGAGAGGUGGAAAUCACUGAACGCAUACAGUUUCAAUAGGAUCUCCUUAAGGUAAUCAGCCGAAAUACUUGGCUGAGGUAAGCGUUGAGAUAAUGUUUUGCGAGCUUUCAUUAUCCAUGACGUGGGUAAUACGGUAUCCCAUGUACAGCGGACUUGCCAUGUAGCGGGGAAACAGCUUUACAUGGAUAUGCUUCAUAUGAUAAAAAAAUAAAUUAUAACUGCUGCAGGGAAUGGGGAAAUCGUGAAGGAUGUAAUUCGCGAUUUUCCGAAUGGUGUCGGCAAAGGUGUCUAUAUGGCCAUCCGUCUUAAGCGUCACGUUCAGCUCGCCCAUGCCGCAUAUGGGAUAUGAUGAAAGGGAUGCGAAGCAGUUUUCGUCUUCAUGAAAAAUCGUUCCCAGAAGGUUUUCGCGGUUGAUAUUGUCCCUGUAGUCGUAAUCCUCAAGCCCGAUAAUCUGAGAAUGAGGGUGGCGCUGGGAACCGCCAGAGGCGGGGUCGUAGUUGCGGAAAUAAAUCACGGAGAUGAGGUGUGGGUAGGGGUGAAAUUCCAAUCGAACGUGGAGAUAGCUGGUUCUCCCCGAAAUAGCUUUAGGGCUAGCCUCAGGGAAGAGAUUACAGGCGGUAGAGCACUGAUCAGGAGAGGGACCUACCCGGUUACCAAACCCAGUCAAACUCCGAAUGGCUGUAAUCAUACCUGGGAGUCAGACUACGACUUAUAAGGGCCGUGGUCGAAAGGGAAACAGCCCAGACCAUCAGCUAAGGUCCCCAAUGCCGUGCUAAGUGGAGAAGGAUGUGGCAUUUCAUAAACAACCAGGAUGUUGGCUCAGAAGCAGCCACCAUUUAAAGAGUGCGUAAUAGCUCACUGGUCGAGAGACGCUGCGCCGAAAAUGUCCGGGGCUCAAGCACGGAACCGAAGCUAUGGCAUUGCAGGAAUGCAAUGGGUAGGGGAGCGUUCUUAUGGGGGAGAAGCAUGACCGGAAGGACAGGUGGACCGAUAAGAAGUGAGAAUGCCGGUAUGAGUAUCGAAAAGAAAGGUGAGAAUCCUUUCCACCGAAAGCCCGAGGGUUCCUGAGCAACGAUCGUCGACUCAGGGUAAGUCGGGACCUAAGCCGAGGCGAGAAGCAUAGGCGAUGGACAACAGGUUGAAAUUCCUGUACCGGAUUAAGCCGUUUGAGUGAAGGAGCGACGCAGGAGGGCACAUGAUCGCGCGGAUGGAAGAGCGCGUCCAAGUGCGUAUGUUGUUGCAGAGGCAAAUCCCUGCAACUGAAAGCAGAGACAUGACGGGGAGUUAAAGGAAACUUUGACGAACUCAUGGACCCCACACUGCCAAGAAAAACUUCUAACGAGGCAAGAUCCGCCCGUACCGUAAACCGACACAGGUAGGCGGGGAGAGAAUCCUAAGGUGCGCGGGAAAACCCUCGUUAAGGAACUCGGCAAAUUGCAUCCGUAACUUCGGGAGAAGGAUGACCCUGAGUAAGCGAAAAGCAGAAACGCUUGGAACAGAAAAGGGUGGCAGAAAAGAGGCCCAAGCAACUGUUUACCAAAAACACAGGUGCCUGCGAAAGCGCAAGCUGAAGUAUAGGUGCUGACGCCUGCCCGGUGCCGGAAGGUUAAGAGGACGUGUAAGCCGAAAGGCGAAGCUUCGAACUGAAGCCCCGGUGAACGGCGGCCGUAACUAUAACGGUCCUAAGGUAGCGAAAUUCCUUGUCGGGUAAG